CCAACCAAACAUUUAAGGAAGCCCCAUUUCUAACCAAAUAACAAGCACCUUUUGAUAUCAACGCUUUUGAUUUUUCUAUGGCUUUCCAUAUUGAAGAAGCUUUCUUAGGAGGGUCUUUCCUCAACCAGUCACUUCUCACUUCUAUAUUUACUCAUUACACCUUACCCGUACACUUCUAUAUUUACUCAAUGGAGUCUCAAGCUUCUAUAAAAAAUAAAAUAAAAUAAAGAGAAAGAGAGUCUCAUGCUCUCCUCUUUCUUUAAACGUUUCCACACCCUUCUCAUAUCUCUCUCUCUCUCUUUGCCUUUGUGUCCUUAAUAGCUUCUUCGUUUGCUGACUCACAUUAACAACAUCAGAGGCUCUCUCCAAUUUGUCUAGGACCCCAACAAUUUCACUUUCUCUUUCUGCUUUGUGGGCUUUGCUAAAUAUGUGAUUUACUGAUGAUAUUCAAUUUUUUGGUGUUAUAAGCUCAACCAUGUGAAAGGAGGAUAAUAAGGUUCUCUCACCAAGUCUCCAAUGGCUUCCAAAUUCACGCCUUUAAAAAUACCAUCAAUGGCUGCAACUCCACUGGCCCUUAUUUCAAUCCACUAAAGAAGGAUUAUGGAGCUUCUAUUGAUAAAGUAUGUCAUGUAUGUGGUUGCAAGCCAAGAUGGGUUCCCAACACACCUUAGUGAGGCAUCGCUCUCACUCUCCAUAUAGCAUUGUUAUCAACUCCCUUCAACUGUUCGAAGAAAUGCCUUAACCAAAAUUUCCAUUACCAAAACUCUUCAGAAAAAAGGCUUGGAAAUUGGAAGUUUAGGUAAAACAUCUUAUUUGGUAUUAAUUAAUUCAUUUAAGUUUCAGAACUUUGUAUAUCUAUGAUUAGGAUUAAGGGUCUACUAUUUCAAAUUGUGGAUAUGGACACUUGACAUUCUUGAAUAAAAAAUACUGGAUUAUUGCUCC